AGUGAACGCUGGCGGUAGGCCUAACACAUGCAAGUCGAACGGCAGCACAGUAAGAGCUUGCUCUUACGGGUGGCGAGUGGCGGACGGGUGAGGAAUACAUCGGAAUCUACUUUUUCGUGGGGGAUAACGUAGGGAAACUUACGCUAAUACCGCAUACGACCUACAGGUGAAAGCAGGGGAUCUUCGGACCUUGCGCGAUUGAAUGAGCCGAUGUCGGAUUAGCUAGUUGGCGGGGUAAAGGCCCACCAAGGCGACGAUCCGUAGCUGGUCUGAGAGGAUGAUCAGCCACACUGGAACUGAGACACGGUCCAGACUCCUACGGGAGGCAGCAGUGGGGAAUAUUGGACAAUGGGCGCAAGCCUGACCAGCCAUACCGCGUGGGUGAAGAAGGCCUUCGGGUUGUAAAGCCCUUUUGUUGGGAAAGAAAAGCAGCAGGUUAAUACCCCGCUGUUCUGACGGUACCCAAAGAAUAAGCACCGGCUAACUUCGUG
rnacentral:rRNA from 1 species